AGUCAGCGCAGGAAGUCGCCCGGCGAAAGACUCGCGCGCUUCGCUGAUAUAUGGCAGAGUUGUUUCAUUACCGCGUGACUUUGGCGUUGGCGGUUUUAUUUUCUUUUUUGGUUUUUGUAAUGGAGAAUUAUGUCGACAUUUUACCUUCGAGUGACAUAAGAACAACGCCAAGCUCAUAAUCACUUCCGAGUAGUGUCGCGUGCAGCGCUCAUCAAUUCACGGCAUCUCCAUAUCAGUAUAGUCCGGUACUGAUUUCAUAAUCACAGGGAUACCCAUUAAAAAAAUUAAGUAAAUCAAUCGCACCUGCAUCGGAAUAUCCAUUUACAUCGUCGAAAAACGCAGUCUAUCAAUUUAACGAUCAUUAGUUAAAAAAGCACACAUGCACGUCCCUCGUAAAUUUCAAAGUCACAAGCCUCGUUGAUCAUUAACCCCCGCCAGACGAAAAUUUCCUCAAAACAUCGGUACCAUCGCUUUUCCUCCAAACUAGCUAUAUAAUCGCUCCACAUUUCAUCGCGAAUACGUGACUCCGCUCAGCGCAUCAAGUUACAAAAGCUCGAACUCGGAAGAAGCCCGAUAAAGCAAAAAAAAAAAAGAACAACACAAAGCGAUAAGUAGUCGCGAACGAUUUUUUUCUCCCGAGCCAAUAGCAACAAACGGCUCGAGCGCGAUUUGACAGCGUGCCAAGCAGGUGGUUCCCCAACACACACGAGACAAGGGGGUCCAUCGCGCCGAAGAAAAAUAGAAUCGGAGCGAAAAUAGGAGGGAGACGGACGGAGAAAGAGAAAGACUGAGUAUAGGUAAUUGGGUCGGAAUGUUCCACGCAUCACCAAUAAUCCCCCCCAACGGCUCUCUUUCGGGGGGAAAGAAGUGUGCGAUGCGACGUUUCGAGGCAAUGUCGUUAAAAUCGUCGUAUAUGCGUGGAUUUCAAAAGGACCGGUUUCGCAGUCUUGUGUAAGCUCGGCUACGAGCUAUUUUGGUGAUUUCUUUUCAUCGAUUCGAAGCUCUUGCUUUCAGGGUUUACGAUCGCCGCUGCGGCUGUGACAUCGGCGAUUUUCGAGAGUUUGUAUCUUUAUUGCCGUUUUUAUGGCGUAUUGAGCAAAACUUAAGACUGGAAUUCGCGUCGUGUGGGUCAUUAUUUAUAGAGCUUUCGAUGACGGGUUAUGGAAUCUGAAUGAAGAUGCGGUUGGUGUAGGUAUUGACGUAAUCUAAGAACUUGAUGAAAAAUUGACAAAUUCGAAAUCGUUUUAAGGAUUCUUCUUCGAAAAGCGUUUGACCUUGAUGGCUUCAGGAACUAGCUACCAAGUGCCAAGUAUACAAUAGCUCUGCGAACUGUCAUCCGAACUGUCAAGCGUUUUGUUUUAAAUGAAUUUCGUUAGGAUUUACGAGAAAUUUCAGUCUUUAAUACAGUCAGCGACUCGAAAUAUAAUAACAAUAACGCAAACCCGAGUACCGCAAGAAUAAUUUAAGAUAGAAAAUAUUUUAAUUUACAAGAAAAAACACCGCUACCCCAGUCAAUCAUCCACCUUCUCCCCACACUACAGCUCAACAUCAACAUUUUACAUAACAACAGCCGGCCCAUUACGCAAUCCGUCAUCUCUAAAUUUAAAAAAAAUCUCCGCAAGCUCUCGAAAAUCCCCAACACCCUCUCGAAAACAAAACCAUCGACUCCGAUUUUUGCGCACGCAUCUCUCCUGUCAGAAAAAAGCGCGCGCCCGGCACCAAAAAACGUCCGUCUCCGUAACUGUCUUUACCCCCCCCCUCUCUCUCUCUCUCUCUCUUGCACAGCCUACGCAAUAUAUAAUAUCAGACAUAGCUCUUGCUUUUGCCUCUCCGCCCGCGAGAUUGAUAUUUUGGGAGACCCCACGCGCGAGGCACACGGCACCAACGCCGCGAAUAUAUAAAACACACACGCGAGCCUACGCGAACUUCUCGCGCAGUGAAGGGGAAGAGAAGCCUGUGUUUUGCAAAGGUGGAAUGCGCAUUUCUUCGACUUAUUUUUUUCCCCGAGGGUUUAAUGUACAGCUUCCGGGUCCAUUUGAAGUCGGAGUAGAAUGUGUUCUUGAUAUCGCGUCUAAUUAUGUACGGAAUAUUCUCUGCGAUUAUGUCAACAAGCUCGAGAGAGAAGAGCGUCUAGAAUUAGGUCUAUUAAAUCAGCCGCGGACUCGAAUUCUCUCUCGAAGUAGGUCACGUUUUCGUGUCGGAUGCCGUCGCUCUAUUUAUCAAAGCUGAGCCGAAACAAUGACUGCACAUUUCUUCCAAACGCUCUUCAGCUCCACUGACACACAAUCGAAUCCAUCAUCCUCGUCGUCUCGGUUCCAACUCGUAGAAUGAACUUGGAAUAAUCGUCAACGCGCACGAGGAAUCUAAUUCGAAGUACGAGUGCAAAUGAACAGCCGCGGGAGAGAGCGCAUGUGCCGUUUCAUCACUUUCACGCGCGCGCACGCGGUUCGAAAACCGCGAAGAGAUUAACACUCCGCGACUGCGCUUUGCUGUACUAUACAGCUGUGAGGGUAUACGUGCUGCGCGAGGAAAUGGGUCGCUUGCUAAAGUUCUCCGAGCGAAAGAGAGGCCCAUUAUGGUUUUUCUGGCAUUGAAGACAAACGGCUCUCGGAUUACUGCAGCGGAAUAAUAAAAAGGGAUUUUCUACGUCUUCAUGCUGGGGCGGGGUUGAGAAGCUUGGCGUGUGAAUGCGGCGUUAAAUGGGAGCUGUGAGGUGUUUCGUGUGUGUGCUGUCGAUGAUGAGUAUAACAUUUUACAGAAAAAAUCGAUUCGAAUUUAAUGAAUUAUACACAGGAAUUAGAAUAAAUUGUUUGCUUUAUAUAGAAA